UACGUAGGGUGCAAGCGUUGUCCGGAAUUAUUGGGCGUAAAGGGCUCGUAGGCGGUCCAUCACGUCGGGAGUGAAAAGCUGGGGCUUAACCCCAGUCCUGCUUCCGAUACGGGUGGACUAGAGGUAGGCAGGGGAGAACGGAAUUCCUGGUGUAGCGGUGAAAUGCGCAGAUAUCUGGAGGAACACCGGUGGCGAAGGCGGCAUCCUGGACCAAUAUUGACGCUGAGGAGCGAAAGCUAGGGGAGCAAACGGG
rnacentral:rRNA from 1 species